UACGUAGGUGGCGAGCGUUGUCCGGAAUUACUGGGUGUAAAGCGCGUGUAGGCGGGAGGCCAAGUCUGUGGUGAAAUCACUCGGCUUAACUGGGCGGGGUCCAUGGAAACUGGUCACCUGGAGGUCGGUAGAGGCAAGUGGAAUUCCCGGUGUAGUGGUGAAAUGCGUAGAGAUCGGGAGGAACACCAGUGGCGAAGGCGGCUUGCUGGGCCGGACCUGACGCUGAGACGCGAAGGCGUGGGGAGCGAACGGG
rnacentral:rRNA from 1 species